rnacentral:tRNA from 1 species
CCAGGUAUAGCUGAGUUUGGUUGUAGCACGUGCUUUGGGCGCACGGGACGAGAGUUCGAAUCUCUCUACUUGGU